rnacentral:tRNA from 1 species
UCUGGUUUGAUGUAAGAAGCAUAUUAGCUUUUCGUGCUGAAUGUGGUCAAUGACCAACUAGUG